UCAUGUUAGUAACUCUGAAAAAAACUACUAACAUUCCAGAAUCGAUUAGAGCUAAUUAUGAAAUUUCAAGGACUUCUAGAAUUAUUUUGGUUACAAUCUGUCACGAUCAGAAAUUUUCAGACUGUGGCAGCUACUAAACUGGCAGAUACUAACAAUUUGUUUACGGAACGGAAUUUACUAUGACUUGAGGUACUGAUUCUAAUUUCUUGAAGUUCAAUGACUGAAACACAAUCACUGAAAGUCCAGGCCUAGCCAUAGACAUUUGCCGGUCAUCUUCUCCAAUUCUCCUGGAGAAUUUCCAGAAUUCUAGUACAGCUCCGACGAUCGACUAACCACCAUGAAACUCGGCGGAAGCGAUAACAUAACAUACGAACCAAUUCCUGACCUUAUUCUGAGGCUAAACAAGAGAUCGAAGGGACUUGGGUAGCUCCUUAAGUUCCAAACCGAAGGCCUUGAAUCGUCGCUGGGAGUUUCUGAUUUCUGGAAACGAAGAACAACAAGGUUUCAAGAACUGGGGUCCUAACUUGAGGCGAUUACUGGGAUUCGUUUGCAACGAAAUAAUGGAAAUUCCUUACCUCAGUUAAGGGUCUAGACCGGCUGGAGGUUAACCAACGAGAAGUCGUUGGUGGCAAUAUGUCGACGAGCUCCAAUACUCUGUAAAGUCGAGAUAUAGGCUCGGUGAGAAGCUAUACGGGAAAAAAAUGGAAAAGAAAUGGAAACGGAGAGAGGGACGGCGACUAUUCUUACUAAGAUGAAUUAGCCGGUUCCAUGAGCCGUCCUCGUCUCGCAGUCGGAGUUCGCCGUAAACAGAGAAAUCGGAGCAGAGGGAAGAUUCGAGGUCUUGAGAGGAUACUGGUAGUGGGAUGGUUAGGGAAGACGAUUUGGGACUAGGGUGGACGAUUACUUGGCAUAGGUUAGGCGAAGGAUCGAGAUGGAUCCAAAAUUGAGACUCGUCGCCGAUUUCGUCAGAGGGGAGCGCGUGGCCAGACGCGUCCGCGAGAAGGAGAAGCUCCAAACCGCUGCCGUUUCAAAAUUGGAGAAAAAGAAGCAAAAGUUCCAGAGGCAGGAAUCAAAUUCUCGAACUAUAGGUUAAUGGGUUAG
rnacentral:lncRNA from 1 species